rnacentral:tRNA from 1 species
GAGGGUAUAGCUCAGUGGUAGAGUGCAUGCUUAGCAUGCAUAAGGUUCUGGGUUCACCCAGUACCUCCA